rnacentral:sRNA from 1 species
UGCCCAGUGUCUCCCUCCUCACCCCACAGUGGUUUAUGUGUCCCCCUGACCAGGAUGCCAGCAUCUGCCUCCCUGACUCUGUCCUCUCCCACAGCUCAUCGGGGCCACAGGCAUCUCCUAUGGCAUGGGUCUGAAGCACAGAUUUGAGGCUGGUGCCCCCAGUGGCCCCCAACACUCAGCUGUUCUCAAAGCUCGUGGGCAGCGCCUUCACCAUCGCUGUGGUUGGGUUCGCCAUUGCCAUCUCGCUGGGGAAGAUCUUCGCCCUGAGGCACGGCUACCGGGUGGACAGCAACCAGGUCUGGGUGAUGCGGGAUGUGUAGGAGGCAUCCAAGUGUAUGGAGGCGCCAGCAACGGGUGGGGGAGGAACAGGUGGGACACGGGGAGAUAGCAGAUGUGCUGAGGCCACGUGGGGGACUGAGGGUAGGAGAGCAGGACGUGUGGGACAGCAUCCAGUCUCUGGGGGCCACUUGGUGGGGAUGGAGAUUGGAGAUGCACAGGUCUAGAUACAGUGGAACAGUGACCAGCCACUUCUAGGAAGUCUCCUUACACCCACACUGUCCCCCGUCAGGAGCUGG